rnacentral:misc_RNA from 1 species
GCAAACUUGGUCAUUUAGAGGAAGUAAAAGUCGUAACAAGGUUUCCGUAGGUGAACCUGCGGAAGGAUCACUAGUGAAUACAUCGGGGAGCGUCUUAACUGACCUCCCCAACCCUUCACAAUCCACAUACACCUGUGCACUGUUUUGGCUUUUGAGCAAUCGAAAGCCAAUCAUUUUAUACAAACCCCUAGUUUAAUGAAUGUAACCGUUUUAUAUAAACAAAAUAAAACUUUCAACAACGGAUCUCUUGGUUCUCGCAUCGAUGAAGAACGCAGC